AUGCCUUAAAUUUAUGGGUAAGGAAAAUAAUGAUUUGGAGUUAUGCUUGAAUCCUUACUGGUAAUGUGAGACGAAUUUUUGAGUGGGUAAAGGUUGCCCCUAAGGUGACCUGCCUACUUUGUGGGAUGUCUGGGAGUUACAAUCUGUCUGACCCA
rnacentral:snRNA from 1 species